UGAUUUUGAACCAGUAUUUUAAAUUGUUCACAAGAAAUUUUUUUUGCACACAUGGGAUUAAAUAAUACUUUGUUUCUACUGGUGGACCCGGGGUCUCUAGAAAAUUCAGCUAUCUCUGAGUUUUUGUUAUUCAAAAUAUCUAUUUUGAUUGCAUCAUAAUCUAUACAGGAAAAUAAAAAUACAGGUUAGUUUUCUGAUUGUUCAUUAUUACGUAACAUCAGAUCUUGUACAACAAAGGUAGGUCGUAUACGGCAGCUCCGAGCGAGAAUUAUCUUGAGUGUUGACGUUUAUUUCCUACAUCCAGUAGCGCGGGCGGUGUGGGACUCUGACUAGCGCACCGCCGCACGCUGCGCUGCGCGCCGCAUACGGCCGAUCGGGGUCCGGUCCACUGCAAUCUCGGUCUUACGAACCGAUUCACAACGUCGUCAAAGGGCUACGGAGCUCGGGUCGAGCGGGCGCGCGGGUCGAGGGGGUGCGGUCAGUUGCGGUCGUCGCGCUCGGGCGCGGCGGGGCUGUGCGGUUCUUCUGAAACCAAGUGUACGUUUUCAA
rnacentral:misc_RNA from 1 species